ensembl:misc_RNA Metazoa_SRP Metazoan signal recognition particle RNA
GCAGGCACAGCAAUAUGAACCUUUAGUCCCAGCUACUGGAGAGGCUGAGGCAGGAGGCCAGGAUUUCUGGGCUUGAGACCAGGAUUUCUGGGCUGCAGUGUGCUCUGCUGUUCAGGUAUCUGCACCAAGUUCAGCAUCAAUAUGGUGACCUCCCAAGGGCAAGGGAUCACCAGGUUGCCUAAGAAGGAGUGAACUGGCCCAGGUCAGAAAGAGAGCAGGCUGAUUGAUCAGUAAUGGGAUUGUGCCUGUGAAUAGCCACUGUACUCCUGCCUAGGCAACAGACCCUGUGUCUCUGUU